CUCUUAUCGCGAGUGGUGGAGGGACUGGCCCGAUGAAGCCCGGCAACAGCCGCCUGAAGGCGGAAAUGUGCCAAAUCCUGCAGGCAAAAGCCUGAGAGAUGAGAG
rnacentral:ncRNA from 2 species